UACGAAGGGGGCGAGCGUUGUUCGGAUUUACUGGGCGUAAAGGGCGCGUAGGCGGCCCUCCUUGUCGCGUGUGAAAGCCCCGGGCUCAACCUGGGAAUUGCGCGCGAAACGGGGGGGCUUGAGUUCGGGAGAGGAGGCGUGGAAUUCCCAGUGUAGAGGUGAAAUUCGUAGAUAUUGGGAAGAACACCGGUGGCGAAGGCGGCGCUCUGGACCGAGACUGACGCUGAGGCGCGAAAGCGUGGGG
rnacentral:rRNA from 1 species